UACGUAGGGAGCAAGCGUUGUCCGGAUUUAUUGGGCGUAAAGAGCUCGUAGGCGGUUUGGUAAGUCUGGUGUGAAAUCUCCACGCUCAACGUGGAGGGGCCACCCGAUACUGCCAUGACUGGAGUCCGGUAGAGGAGUGUGGAAUUCCCGGUGUAGCGGUGAAAUGCGCAGAUAUCGGGAGGAACACCCGUGGCGAAGGCGGCUACCUGGCCCAAUACUGACACUCAGGUGCGACAGCGUGGGGAGCAAACAGG
rnacentral:rRNA from 1 species